rnacentral:rRNA from 1 species
GUGCCAGCCGCCGCGGUAAUACGGAGGGUGCAAAAGACGUUAAAAUACGGAAAUUAACUAGGGCGUAAAAGCGCACGCAGGCGGUUUGUUAAGUCAGAUGUGAAAUCCCCGCGCUUAACGUGGGAACUGCAUUUGAAACUGGCAAGCUAGAGUCUUGUAGAGGGGGGUAGAAUUCCAGGUGUAGCGGUGAAAUGCGUAGAGAUCUGGGAGGAAUACCGGUGGCGAAGGCGGCCCCCUGGACAAAGACUGACGCUCAGGUGCGAAAGCGUGGGGAGCAAACAGGAUUAGAUACCCUGGUAGUCCACGCUGUAAACGAUGUCGACUUGGAGGUUGUGCCCUUGAGGC